rnacentral:lncRNA from 1 species
AGCGCUCCCCAACCAAGGACAACGGCCUCCCAGGCGCUCAUCGUCCACCCGCAGGAGGGUGCGAAGAGGCGGAGGCAAGCCCACCGCUCCUGACAUUGGCCUUCUAGGAAAGGCGGUGUUGCAUCCCACCUGCACUUCCUCUCUGAUUCUUGAGGGCCAACCGCUUCCUCCGCUCCUGGGGAAAGUGCCUUCUUUUCCCUCUCCACACCUCUUUCUGGAUGAUUGGGCAGCUGUGGUGAUCCUGGAGCUCUGGGCUUCCAUACCUGUGUGGGACAGGGAAGCUCCGGGGGAGUCGGCCUCGCCAGCGCGCAUGCGCGAGGCCCGAGCCGCCGCUUGGGUCACAGUGAAAGCCACCGUUGCCCGGGGAUGGGUCCCUGACACUUGGGGAAGUAGGAGCCCUGUGUGAUCGUGCGUCUGAGUCUGGGCUGAGACCAGUCCUGGCCAGGGCAGUUACCAGGACGGUCUCCGGAGGCCGGGAUUCGCGGAGGGUCCAGCAGCAGGAAGAAACCCCAGGAGGAAGAAACCUCAGACAGAUCGCCGGCGAGGCAGCGCGGGAUCCCAGCCUCAGGCGUGCGCGGACGGUGUGCGGGUGAGUCUCCCCAAAAGUGGAGCCCUUGUGAUGACGAGCACAGGUCCGCCUGCGUGCCCGUGGGCUGCUCUCUCACCGGUGGCUCUCAGUCGCGGAGAGCAGAACCCGGCAGCUUCAGGGGCUGCCUGCGGGAGGGUGUUCCCUGCUGUACGUGUGUGUUCGUCAUGGGUGUGUGUGUGUGUGUGUUGGGGGGGGUGCGUCUGUGUGUGUGUCUGUGUGUGUGCGCGCGCAGUGCCUGUCUGUGUGCCGACUUCUGUCUCUCUCUCACGUCUCUCUCUCUCUCUCUCUCUCUCUCUCUCUCUCUCUGUCUCCCUUCUCGCUCUUUCCGUGGCCCUCUCUUUCUGUCUCUGUCCGUCUGUGUGUGCGUGCGCCUCGGGACACAUGUGCCCUGUGCGCCGGAGGGUGGGUUUCUUGCACGUCGGCCUUUCUUCUGGUCAGCCUCUCCCCGCGUCUCUGCCUGGGUCGUGUGGCCGGUUGGCAGUCGUCGUCCCGGCGGUUCCAGUUUGGGGGUCUGUGAAGGCCUGGGCAACGUGGGCAUCGGCGUCGGACCCGCAGGGGUUUUCAUCCCCUCCCCAUCCGGAGCAGCCUCUUUGCUAGGCUGGAUCCAGACGAGCGCUCCCCAACCAAGGACAACGGCCUCCCAGGCGCUCAUCGUCCACCCGCAGGAGGGUGCCCGCAGAGCUUCAAGAAGGUGGUUGUCACGCCUGUCGCCCUCUGCCCUCAUCGAGAAAUGUAGCCACAGCUCGACGCAGGGACGGAGAAGGAAGCCGGCAAGGGGAUGGGGCAAGCAUGUCUGUCUCUCAAAGGCUGGCCUUCCUGGCCGAGUCACCCGUUUGA